AGUGAACGCUGGCGGUAGGCCUAACACAUGCAAGUCGAACGGCAGCACAGUAAGAGCUUGCUCUUACGGGUGGCGAGUGGCGGACGGGUGAGGAAUACAUCGGAAUCUACUUUUUCGUGGGGGAUAACGUAGGGGAACUUACGCUAAUACCGCAUACGACCUACGGGUGAAAGCAGGGGAUCUUCGGACCUUGCGCGAUUGAAUGAGCCGAUGUCGGAUUAGCUAGUUGGCGGGGUAAAGGCCCACCAAGGCGACGAUCCGUAGCUGGUCUGAGAGGAUGAUCAGCCACACUGGAACUGAGACACGGUCCAGACUCCUACGGGAGGCAGCAGUGGGGAAUAUUGGACAAUGGGCGCAAGCAUGAUCCAGCCAUACCGCGUGGGUGAAGAAGGCCUUCGGGUUGUAAAGACCUUUUGUGGGGAAAGAAAAGCAGCAGGUUAAGACCCCGCUGUUCUGACGGUACCCAAAGAAUAAGCACCGGCUAACUUCGUG
rnacentral:rRNA from 1 species